GUGCUUGCUUCAGCAGGACAUAUACUAAAACUGGAACAAUACAGAGAAGACUAGCAUGGCCUCUCUGUGCAAGAAUGACAUGCAAAUUCAUGAAGCAUUCCAUAUUUUU
ensembl:snRNA U6 U6 spliceosomal RNA